GUCCACGCCGUAAACUAUGGAUGCUAGCCGUCAGCAAGCUUGCUUGUUGGUGGCGCAGCUAACGCAUUAAGCAUCCCGCCUGGGGAGUACGGCCGCAAGGUUAAAACUCAAAGGAAUUGACGGGGGCCCCGCACAAGCGGUGGAGCAUGUGGUUUAAUUCGACGCAACGCGAAGAACCUUACCAGCUCUUGACAUGGCCGGACGGUUUCCAGAGAUGGGAUCCUCGUAGCAAUACGCCGGUACACAGGUGCUGCAUGGCUGUCGU
rnacentral:rRNA from 1 species